GAACUUGGUUGAGGAGAAAUGGCCAGGCCACCUAAUCUUCAACAACUCUGCUGAAGAGGUAAAGUCUCUAAUCCCGCAGGGAGGUUCAAGGGGAGAGAAGCGAGUCUCCAAUAAACGCAUUAAAACGGAACUGGGAGUGAAUCUGCUUUACCCUACCUAUGAAUCUGGAUUGCGGAGCAUUAUUGAACGCAUAGAAGUUCCAUUUGGCGUAAGUUGAUUGCUCUAUCAUCAGACCGG
rnacentral:misc_RNA from 1 species